CCUACGGGUGGCAGCAGUGGGGGAUAUUGCACAAUGGGGGAAACCCUGAUGCAGCGACGCCGCGUGUGGGAAGACGGUCCUCUGGAUUGUAAACCACUGUACCAAGGGACGAAGAUGACGGUACCUGGGGAGGAAGCUACGGCUAACUACGUGCCAGAAGCCGCGGUAAUACGUAGGGAGCGAGCGGUGUCCGGAAUUACUGGGGGUAAAGGGAGCGUAGGCGGGGAUGCAAGUUGGGUGUCAAAACUACCGGCUCAACUGGUAGUCGCACUCUAAACUGCAUCUCUUGAGUGAAGUAGAGGCAGGCGGAAUUCCUAGUGUAGCGGUGAAAUGCGUAGAUAUUAGGAGGAACACCAGUGGCGAAGGCGGCCUGCUGGGCUUUUACUGACGCUGAGGCUCGAAAGUGUGGGGAGCAAACAGGAUUAGAUACCCGAGUAGUC
rnacentral:rRNA from 1 species